GACGAACGCUGGCGGCGUGCUUAACACAUGCAAGUCGAACGGAAAGGCCCUGCUUUUGUGGGGUGCUCGAGUGGCGAACGGGUGAGUAACACGUGAGUAACCUGCCCUUGACUUUGGGAUAACUUCAGGAAACUGGGGCUAAUACCGGAUAGGAGCUCCUGCUGCAUGGUGGGGGUUGGAAAGUUUCGGCGGUUGGGGAUGGACUCGCGGCUUAUCAGCUUGUUGGUGGGGUAGUGGCUUACCAAGGCUUUGACGGGUAGCCGGCCUGAGAGGGUGACCGGCCACAUUGGGACUGAGAUACGGCCCAGACUCCUACGGGAGGCAGCAGUGGGGAAUAUUGCACAAUGGGCGGAAGCCUGAUGCAGCAACGCCGCGUGCGGGAUGACGGCUUUCGGGUUGUGAACCGCUUUCGCCUGUGACGAAGCGUGAGUGACGGUAAUGGGUAAAGAAGCACCGGCUAACUACGUG
rnacentral:rRNA from 1 species